rnacentral:rRNA from 1 species
AUUGAACGCUGGCGGCAGGCCUAACACAUGCAAGUCGAGCGGCAGCAGGGUGAUUGCUCGUGGUUUCGGCGGCGGACGGGCGAGUAGUUCCUAGGAACAUGCCUGGUUGUGUGGGCUUACGUCCGAACGCGGGCGCUCAUACGCCAAUAGUCCAGAGGACGUACGUGGGGGAUCAUCGGACCUUCGGCCCUCGGGUGAGCCGAGGUCGGAUUAGCUAGUUGGUGGGGUAAAGGCCUACCAAGGCGACGAUCCGUAGCUGGUCUGAGAGGAUGAUCAGACACACUGGAACUGAGACACGGUCCAGACUCCUACGGGAGGCAGCAGUGGGGAAUAUUGGACAAUGGGCGAAAGCCUGAUCCAGCCAUACCGCGUGGGUGAAGAAGGCCUUCGGAUUGUAAAGCCCUUUUAGUGGGGAAGAAGAGCAGUAAGUUAAUACCUUGCUGUUUUGACGGUACCAACAGAAUAAGCACCGGCUAACUUCGUG